rnacentral:rRNA from 1 species
AGUUUGGCAGGGAUAAACGCUGAAGGCAUCUAAGCGUGAAGCCCCCCUCAAGAUAAGAUAUCCCAUCUUCGGAGUAAGACCCCUUGAAGACUACAAGGUUGAUAGGCUUCAGGUGUAAGUGUGGUAACGCACUCAGCUGAGAAGUACUAAUAGGUCGAGGACUUAUCCUUA